rnacentral:rRNA from 1 species
ACGAUGGGAGCUUGCUCCCAGGCGUCGAGUGGCGGACGGGUGAGUAAUACUUAGGAAUCUACCCAAUAGUGGGGGACAACUCGGGGAAACUCGAGCUAAUACCGCAUACGCCCUACGGGGGAAAGCGGGGGAUCUUCGGACCUCGCGCUAUUGGAUGAGCCUAAGUCGGAUUAGCUUGUUGGUGGGGUAAAGGCCUACCAAGGCGACGAUCCGUAGCUGGUCUGAGAGGAUGAUCAGCCACACUGGGACUGAGACACGGCCCAGACUCCUACGGGAGGCAGCAGUAGGGAAUAUUGGACAAUGGGCGAAAGCCUGAUCCAGCAAUGCCGCGUGUGUGAAGAAGGCCUGCGGGUCGUAAAGCACUUUCAGUAGAGAAGAAAAGCUUAGGGAUAAUACCCCUGAGUCUUGACGUAACCUACAGAAGAAGCACCGGCUAACUCCGUGCCAGCAGCCGCGGUAAUACGGAGGGUGCGAGCGUUAAUCGGAAUUACUGGGCGUAAAGCGCGCGUAGGCGGCUUGGUCAGUCUGAUGUGAAAGCCCUCGACUUAAUCGAGGAAGUGCAUUGGAUACUGCCAGGCUUGAGUGCAGGAGAGGUGAGCGGAAUUCCAGGUGUAGAGGUGAAAUUCGUAGAUAUCUGGAGGAACAACGGUGGCGAAGGCGGCUCACUGGACUGUUACUGACGCUGAGGCGCGAAAGCGUGGGGAGCAAACAGGAUUAGAUACCCUGGUAGUCCACGCUGUAAACGAUGGAUACUAGAUGUCGGGGACUCUUGCCUCCUCGGUGUCGUAGUUAACGCGUUAA